GUGGGGAAUCUUGCGCAAUGGGCGAAAGCCUGACGCAGCCAUGCCGCGUGAAUGAUGAAGGUCUUAGGAUUGUAAAAUUCUUUCACCGGGGACGAUAAUGACGGUACCCGGAGAAGAAGCUCCGGCUAACUUCGUGCCAGCAGCCGCGGUAAUACGAAGGGGGCUAGCGUUGCUCGGAAUUACUGGGCGUAAAGGGCGCGUAGGCGGACAGCUUAGUCAGAGGUGAAAGCCCAGGGCUCAACCUUGGAAUUGCCUUUGAUACUGGCUGUCUUGAGUAUGGGAGAGGUGAGUGGAACUCCGAGUGUAGAGGUGAAAUUCGUAGAUAUUCGGAAGAACACCAGUGGCGAAGGCGACUCACUGGCCCAAUACUGACGCUGAGGCGCGAAAGCGUGGGGAGCAAACAGGAUUAGAUACCCGUGUAGUCC
rnacentral:rRNA from 1 species